GACGGAGGGUGCGAGCGUUAAUCGGAAUUACUGGGCGUAAAGCGCAUGUAGGCGGCCGAACAAGUCAGGUGUGAAAUCCUCGGGCUUAACCUGGGAAGUGCACUUGAUACUGUCAGGCUAGAGUUUGGCAGAGGAAAGUAGAAUUCCCGGUGUAGCGGUGAAAUGCGUAGAUAUCGGGAGGAAUACCGGUGGCGAAGGCGGCUCUCUGGGCCGAUACUGACGCUGAGGCGCGAAAGCGUGGGGAGCAAACAGG
rnacentral:rRNA from 1 species